UUGAAAGGUUUAUGAUUAACAGGGAUCAGGAUCAGACAUUCAGUCUGAAUUAGCAUAGCCCUGAGCUUUCAUCUAUGAUCAACUGGUAACAAAUGGGAAAGGAAGAGAUGACCCAGAGCUCUGUAUGCUUCAUUCAUUUACUGCUAAAUAAAAUAGCGUGUUGAGACCGAAUAA